GCCGUGCCACAACAGGAACUCCUGCUGUGACCUUCUUAAAGGACAAGAUUCUGGUAGGAUUCAGCAUUCCACUCAGCAGUUCGAGCAUGGCCAAUCAGCUGAGAAGUGAGAGAAAAGUCUACUGGCUUUCUGGCUGGUUGCUGCUAAUCUGGUCGUCUGUGUGUUGUUCUGACUGGGUACUUGUGAACUGUGGCUUGUAGCUUAGAAUGAAGCAGCUGAAGCAUCUAUGAGAACUUUCCAGUGACACGCAUUCGUUACUGAUGAUCCAUUGCUAAACUCAUCUUUUAGUUUUGAUCUUUAUAAUGAAAUAUAGUUAAUACAAUUCGGGAAGUGCUCUCUGGAAAAUGAUUGGACUUUUGAGAACACUUUGGUCAACCUUUUUUUUUUUCAACUACAUCCUACGUUUCUAACAAACUUGUAAGUUCCCAGCAAGUUCCUUUCUAAUAAUAAAACUCCUAUAAAAAGUGGAAUUUUAGUAUUGCAGCACUGCAGUUUUUAAGGUCAGAAAUCACUGGCUUUUCUGGUUCCUGAGAUCUCACAAAGAAGCCUGAUUCUCACAUUGAUGAUCAAGAUAGACCCAUUCAUAUAAAAAAUAUCGAGAAAGAGAUGAGAAGGUGCUAAAACUUUUACCUCUUUGACCUAUUAAAUGUGGGAAAAGUAUGGACUUUGAAGAUGGGUUGGGGGUGGGGGGGAAACCGCCAUUUUUCCCCUAAACUUCUUAGGUGUGCUUUAGAUUGGAACUCUUAUUCCACAGAGUCUACAGUUAUAUGUGGGAAUUCUUAUUCCAUGGAUAAGACUAUGUAGCCUUUAAUUUCCGACAUUAAAACUAGCCUUUUAAUGCAUCCCAUUCAAAACCCCAUAGAGUGUGCAGUCUUUACUUUCUGCCUUGAAUUCCCUUUUCCACCAUAACUUCUGUCGUCAGAACCAUAAGGGCACUUGCAUGUUGGGCUUAUUUCACUCUCAAAGGCUAGGAUAUUAGAACUAAAUAGAACAUCUUUACUAGAAAAUAUUGGUAAACUUCUCUAUGAGGAUUUCAUCUGAUAUUCCGAUUCUGUAAUCUUUGUGGAAACUACAGGAAAGUGCUAAGUGAUUCUGUAAUCUUGAGAAUCAUAUUCCACAUCCUAGGUAGAAGGCUAACUGCCCAGGGCUAUCACCAAAGCAUACAAAUAGUUUUCAGUGUUGGAAGAUGGCAACUGAUAGAAUUUCUCAUCUUAUGUGUAUUAUCCAAUGUAUCUACGUAAUUAGUUGGAUGUGGUUUUCUUUCCUUUCAUCAUUUGUAAAGUGGAGUUAACAUCAGAAAUGAAGAAUAUGGGCUUUGGGUAUUACUGUAGCUGAAACUUGGCCUCUGUCCACUGGUACCAGAUAGAACCAGACAGAAACAUAGAGACAGUAUUUUGGGCAAAGGAGAAAAGAGUAGCUUUUAUUGCUUUGCCAGGCAAAGGAGGCCACAGCAGGUUGAUGCCCUGAGAAGGAUCAGGGUAGAUGCAAGCUUGUGUCCUUCUUCAAAGCUGGUAUUUAGUGGCCCUGGGACUUGUGCUGAUGGUCCUUGAGAAGAAAGACUGUCUUCUUUCUGGAAUGAAGAAUGCUUCAAGUAAUUAACAUCUUCCAUUUGCUGGGAGUCCUAGUUCUGCAGCAAGCAAAGAUAUUGUUAUUUAUAUUCCUUGAAGAGAAACCAGGACCCUGCCCCCAGGCUACACUAUUGUUUCUUGACUGCUCCUUCCUUGUCUGUGCCUCUCUUCCCCUUCCUAAUUAGCAGCUGUUUGAACCUGCCCUUCAGAACUCAGUGGAGCUCAGGGAGAAUGCAGCUUAUUCCCUAUAGGCAAGAAAUAGGGUGGUGGUGGGGAAACAGAGAGGCUUCCCCAGGAGCCCCAUAGGGCUUGGUUUUGUUAUGAUUACCUUUAGUUAUUUGAGGAUGAAGAGACCCUAAAUACAUGUAAUAAUAACAUCAAAGAUUACUGAGCACAGAUCACCAUAACAAAGUUAAUAAUAAUGCAAAUUUUGAAAUAUUGCACGGACUACCAAAAUGUGACAGAGACAUAAACUGAGAAAAUGGUGUUGGAAAAAUAGCAUUAAUAGACCUGCUUGACAUAAAGUUGCCACAAACCUUCAAUCUCUAGAACAAAAAACCCUGCAGUAUCUGUGAAGUACAAUAAAGAGAACAAUACAAUGAGAUCCUUGUAACCUAAUAAUAGAGAUACAUUUCAAAAUUGCAAGAUGCAUACAAAUAGAAGUCACUGUUUUAAUCUAUAAAGAGUCAUAGCACCCUUGUGGUAUGUGUGUGACUUUUUUUUUUCAUUUUUUUAGGGC